AUGGAUGGAGGGGACCUCAAGCCACCUCAAGCCCCCUCCCCAUCCAAGAAGCACAGCUCUCAGUUGGGAGAAACACAAUGGCCCAAGCCUCAGGAGUGUCUGAACAGGUCUGAACAGGAUGGCCCAGUUCGUUGGUGGUUGAAGUGGCGGGUCCUGGCUCCCAGGGCUGCUGGAGGGAGGGGGUGGGGGGCUCAGCCUCCUAGGUCUGAGCAGGGCCCCGGGCCUCUGCCUCAGGCUGUACUGCUCCCUGUUCCCUGGAUUGCUUCUAGCUCCGGAGGAGCCCCGAUGUCUUUCCGGCUGGGCCUCUGUGUCACGGAGGGAGCGUGGAGCCCAUGAUCGGCGUGGCUGACUGCCAGGCUGGCAGAUGGCCGGAGCCCAGAGCUCACCGGGAAGGAGCAUAACAAGGCCCCUGGUGGGCAGCUGUGACCCAGCAUCUUCCAGCAGAAGAGCAGCGAGGAGGGAGAGAGAAUACCAGGGGGACCCUUCCCCCUAUGCCCCCCGGCUGCCCAGGACUCCGGCAUCAGCCAGUAACAGCACAGGACUCCCCAGAGCACUAGGCAAGCAGCUGUCACAGAAAGGCCUGCAUGAGCCCAUUUUUAAGGGGUCCUUCAGCUCCAACCUUCUGAAACUCUGAUUCCACAACUAUGAUUCAGCUUUUCUCACUGUAGACUUCUCUCUCUAUAAAGGACAUCUGUGGUUUUCCCUUGCCUGGAAUCCACUCCACUCCUUCUAUUAGUAGCACCCUCGUCAUCCUUCCAGAAACCACCCCUCCUCCACUCUCAGUUCAUGCAGCUUGGGUGAGGCUGACCUGGCCUUUUUACCCGCCUGGCUCCACGGUGGGCAUGCAUGCCAGGCCUGGCGUGGCUCAUCAGCUACGUUUUCUGCUUGCUGGGUCCAGUGAGAUCCCAUCCAAGGAAUUUUGCUGGAACUCUUGGGAAAAAAGGAAUUGCCAGCAAUUGGUUUGGUGCACAUCUGGAGGUGCUAGAGACCAUCUGGCCAUGACAGGGGAGGAGCUUUCUUGAGAACGAAACCAUCACAGAAGACAGUGUGGAAUGAGAGGGAGAGAAUUAGAGAAGGAAGAGAGAGUGGAACAGAUUAAUUAAUUAACUGAUGCUUAUAAGAAAGAGAUGGAGACCUGAGACUUGACAAAAUGGGUUGAGCCCCUGGUUCAGCUUUAACAGAUGCAGUAUUUAACUCCUGGACUUUUCUUUUUCUUUUAUUUCUCUCUUUUUUCUUUCUUUCUUUCUUUCUUUCUUUCUUUCUUUCUUUCUUUCUUUCUUUCUUUCUUUCUUUCUUUCUUUCUUUCUUUCUUUCUUUCUUUUUUUGUAAGCAAUCUCUAUGUUCAAUGUGGGGCUUGAGCUCACACCUGAGAUCAAGAGUCACAUGAUCUACUGAAUGAACCAGCCAGCCAGAAGCCCCAUAAUCCUUGGACUUUUCAAUGAAGGGGUCAAGAAUAUGCUACCAUGGCACCAAAAUUAUUUGGGGCAGAAGGCAUUUGAAUUCCUGAUGUGGCUUAUCUGCCUAAAUGCAAUAGCCUCCCAAAAUAACUCAAUUGUCAUAAAUCCCCUCUGGGAGGCAACCAGGAGAGACUGACUAGAGAUUAGAAUUGCUGCAUCUAAACAGACAUUGUCACAAAACUAUCAUCUCAUCUGUCUCCUAAGGGCCAGUUUAUCUUUACUUAAAGUCAUUUGUUUUCCUGUAAGUGCCUUCUCCCUAUUUGCAUUUCCCAAUGAAGAUGGUGUAUGAAUCCCAAAUUCUUUUUUUUUUUAAUUUUUAUUUAUUUAUGAUAGUCACACACAGAGAGAGAGAGAGAGGCAGAGACAUAGGCAGAGGGAGAAGCAGGCUCCAUGCACCGGGAGCCCAACGUGGGAUUCGAUCCCAGGUCUCCAGGAUCGCGCCCUGGGCCAAAGGCAGGCGCUAAACCGCUGCGCCACCCAGGGAUCCCUGAAUCCCAAAUUCUAACCACUAUCCAGAGUCUUUUUUUUUUUUCUGUGAAUUCCUGUCUGGAUGUGAGCAAAUCUGACUUUUUUCAGUUUAAUUUGCAGGCCUCAAAAAUGAGCCUAAGAGGGUAUAGGAAAAGUUUUACAUAAUCAAAAAAUCUCCCUCUGACACCCGCUUCCAUGACUCUACCAUUCCACUCAAGUCUAUGAUUUACUCUAUAAUUUACUUAAGAACUAAAUUUUACUGAAUCUUUUUUUUUUUUUUUUUUUUUUUUACGGCAGAGAGAAGCCUGCAGUGACCUGGGCCUCUGAAGACCUGCCCUGGUUCCCUGAAAUCAGAGGGAUUUGCUCUUGAAGACCCAAAGAUUCUGGCCGCAUUGCUGCUCUGUCUGUACCCCCAAAGUAACCCUUGAGCACUCUUGGUCAGUGCCCAAACCUGCCUGCGAAACAAAUGUCACAUGUCCCCCUGGUGCCCUUUAUUAAUUCAUUUGUUAAUCCAACACUCGUUUAUGGAGCACCAGCUGUGUUAAAAAAUGAAGUUCUUAUCAUCAGAGAUCUUAGGAUUUGGUGAAGAAAACAGACUAGUCAAAAGAAUUUCAUCAGAAUGUGAUUAGUGCUUGCUAAAAAUAAGCACAGAGAAGAGGCCUUGAUACCAGGAGAAGAGCAGCAAGCAUGGCAAAGAAGCUUUCUGAAGGCAGUGAUCCAGGCUGAAUUCCAUAUGUUGAGGAGUCAGCUGGAUAGUGGGUAGAGGAAGUGCUUUCCAGGUAAGCCAAAGGAACAGCACAUGAUAGAACCUUGGGGAGAUGGGAGAGGCUGUGGCCUGCCAGGACUGUUUGGCACAGAGCUGGAUUGGGGAGAGGCACAGAGAUUGUCCAUCAGGAAUAGGGCAGCUAAGCUUUGACACAUUUCCUGUGAUGAGGACAGCUUCCUGUGGGCACAGACCUACAGUUAGCAAGCAACAUAGCUCAGCAGCAAACAUGAGCCUGGAGCAAAGCCUGACUCAUGCCCACAGAGAAGAAAACAAGCUGGCAGAUUCCCAGCCAGGGUCCUGGGUCAAGGGGGUACAACAGAGUCCUUGAACACAAGCAUUGGUGAGCUCCUUGCCCACAGAGAAAGCUUGGAUUUUCCUGUUGGAAAGAACUAUAGGCCACUGAAGGCAGGGCCCAAAGCAAAGUCUGCCAUCUUCUCUCCCACUCCUCACCCCUCCUAGAUUCUUCCCUUUCCAUCCAUGUCCUUGAGUCUUCUGGGCCUGGGAGGACAGGAACUAUCAUGGGUAAAAGUAGCCUUCUUACUCAACGUCUCUGUGCCUGACUGCUCCUCUGAAACAUGAAGCUAAUAUGGUACAGAUUAAAAAAAGUAAUGCAUAACUGGUGACACAGUCAUGAAUUUGUUCAUUUACUCUUUUUUUAUAUUUAUUUUUCCUUGGGAUCCAGAUUGUUCCAUGUGCUCCAUUGAGACUUGCAGUCAUGGAGCUUUGGCCUUCUCCUGGACAUAGGGAUGGGGUGUUGACCAUAUCAGCCAAUUAUGAUAUCCCCUCCUUGGCAAUAGCGAUUGGUCCCUAUGGUGGACUCAAUAUUCCCAUGGGCCAACCAGAGUCUCCCUGGGGGAAGGAUCUCUCCUGCUUGAAGUUCCGGAGCUGGAAAAUAUGACUUUGGACAAAGCCCAUGUAUCCAUGGAUGAAAUUACUUCUUAGAAGGAAAUAGAGCCAAGAUGAUGAUGCUAAUGAUGAUGACGAUGUUGAUGAUGAUGUAACACACAUCACUCUGCACUACUUGAAGCCAAAUCCACUCCUAGACUUCCCAGUUCCUCCAGCCAACUCAUUAGCAUUUUCCUUAAGUCAAAUGAGUUGGGUUUCUUUUAUAUGCAGAUACAAAAAUCUUAAGUCAUUUGUCAUGAAAAACCAUGAGCUCAGUAUCUGCCACCAUAAGAAGAGCUCAGUGACUGGUCAUUACAAUGAGAGGGUGAAAAUGGUCCUAUGCCUCCUUUGCCACCACUUCUUUCCCUUCCAGAACAUGACUCACCCCUUUCCUUCUGUACUGGGAAACAGGCUGCUGGUUAUAUUGGCUGGGGUUGCAAAAAUGGGCUGGGGGUGAGGGGUAUGGUGACAAGCAGACCAAACCACCCAGUGCCCCCCAUUCAGCUUGAGAGCUGCAGCAGCCCUGCCCAGGUCCCCAGCC
rnacentral:lncRNA from 1 species